rnacentral:tRNA from 1 species
GCUUUCGUGGUGUAAUGGUAGCACACUCGGCACGUAUUCAAGAGGUCCUGGUUCGAGUCCCGGCGAGGGCA